rnacentral:rRNA from 1 species
UACAGAGGGGGCAAGCGUUGUUCGGAAUUACUGGGCGUAAAGGGCGCGUAGGCGGCCAACUAAGUCGGACGUGAAAUCCCCGGGCUCAACCCGGGAACUGCGUCCGAUACUGGAUGGCUUGAAUCCGGGAGAGGGAUGUGGAAUUCCAGGUGUAGCGGUGAAAUGCGUAGAUAUCGUAAGGAAGACCGGUGGCGAAGGCGGGUCUCUGGACAGUUCCUGACGCUGAGACACGAAGGCCAGGGGGAGCAAACGGG